rnacentral:lncRNA from 1 species
UGUGGUAUUUGUGGAUCCUUACCAUGAUAUCACUUACCUAUAGCUAAUGGAAUAUUUAAGUGGAGCUCAUAGGAGUAAAAAACAGCUCAUACAUAUGUUGUCUAAUCGAGCCGUGGAUCCAAAGGAACUCAGCAUAUAAUUAAAUCAAGAGGUGCAUGUGUGAUGGAGUAAAUGAUAGUGAUGAUGAAAACGCAUAAGUGAUAAUAAAACUUAGUUCUCAUUGUUCCUUAUAUUGCUAUCCCUCCUCUUCUUUGAUCUUUGCUUUGGGAGAACAUGGGCUAUCUUUUUCUCUUCUUUUUUUUUCAGGUGGGUAGUAGAUACCCCUAAUUCUACUGUCGGACACUUGUCCAUUUUUUCCGCUCAAGUGGGCAUCUUUGUACCCCUAAUUCUACUUCGGACACUUGUCCAUUUUUACCUCUCGUCUCACUCUUUUUCUUUCUUCUCCGAGGUUCCGGGCACUUGCCCCUGUGGGGGUAUAAACCCCUAUACCCUUACGGCUGGACUUGGGCCAGGAGGCUUGGCCCAUUACGAGACGAAUCCAAAGCUUGAUCCGACAACCUGGAGUUCCGCGCAAGGAAACAAGACAUGG